GAUAUAUGGAAGAUUUAAACACCAUUCAUUCUUUGUUUUUCCACAAAGGACCGUCCUCCUUCUAAUAUUUGGAAGAAAAUAGAUCAAUCCAGGGACUAUAAAAAUGGCAAUCAACUCAGGGAAUAUCAACUGGAAGGACUCAACUGGCUCUUGUUCAAUUGGUACAAUAGACGAAACUGCAUCUUAGCAGAUGAAAUGGGUCUUGGCAAAACUAUUCAAUCAAUUACAUUCCUCUAUGAAAUCCUUCUGACUGGUAUAAGAGGACCUUUCCUGAUUAUUGCUCCACUUUCUACUAUUGCAAACUGGGAGAGAGAAUUUCGUACAUGGACUGAUAUUAACGUUGUGGUUUAUCAUGGGAGCCUGAUUAGCAGACAGAUGAUACAGCAAUACGAGAUGUACUUCAGGGAUUCACAGGGGCGUAUCAUUCGAGGAGCUUACAGAUUCCAAGCCAUCAUCACCACUUUUGAAAUGAUUCUUGGAGGCUGUGGAGAGCUUAAUGCAAUUGAAUGGCGAUGUGUGAUUAUUGAUGAAGCACAUAGGUUAAAAAAUAAAAAUUGUAAACUCUUAGAGGGCCUGAAACUCAUGAAUCUGGAACACAAGGUGCUUUUGACUGGCACACCUCUCCAAAAUACAGUUGAAGAACUAUUUAGUCUUCUUCACUUUCUUGAACCCUUAAGGUUUCCUUCUGAAUCGACAUUUAUGCAAGAAUUUGGGGAUCUGAAAACAGAGGAACAGGUACAGAAACUUCAGGCUAUCCUGAAACCAAUGAUGUUGAGACGAUUAAAAGAAGAUGUGGAAAAGAAGUUGGCACCUAAAGAAGAAACCAUCAUUGAAGUAGAACUUACUAAUAUUCAAAAGAAAUACUACCGGGCUAUCUUGGAAAAGAACUUUUCUUUUUUAUCCAAAGGAGCAGGACAAACUAAUGUACCUAACUUGGUCAAUACCAUGAUGGAGCUCAGGAAAUGUUGUAAUCAUCCAUAUCUUAUCAAAGGUGCUGAGGAGAAAAUACUUGGAGAAUUUAGAGAUACUUAUAAUCCAGCUGCUUCUGAUUUUCAUCUUCAAGCAAUGAUCCAGUCUGCUGGUAAAUUGGUCCUUAUUGAUAAAUUGCUUCCCAAAAUGAAAGCUGGAGGUCAUAAAGUGCUCAUCUUCUCUCAAAUGGUUCGCUGCCUUGACAUCCUGGAGGACUAUCUCAUACAUAAAAGAUAUUUAUAUGAGCGAAUUGAUGGCAGAGUCAGAGGAAAUCUUCGGCAAGCUGCUAUAGAUAGAUUUAGUAAACCUGAUUCAGAUAGAUUUGUUUUUCUCCUGUGUACCCGAGCUGGUGGGUUGGGCAUCAACUUAACUGCAGCUGAUACAUGUAUAAUUUUUGAUUCUGAUUGGAAUCCUCAAAAUGAUCUUCAGGCCCAAGCUCGUUGCCACAGAAUUGGUCAGAACAAAGCAGUUAAAGUCUACAGACUGGUAACUCGUAACUCAUAUGAGAGAGAGAUGUUUGACCGAGCCAGUUUGAAACUGGGCCUAGAUAAAGCUGUGUUACAGAGCAUGAGUGGAAGAGAAAGUAAUGUUGGUGGUAUUCAGCAGCUUUCCAAAAAGGAAAUAGAAGAUCUGCUUCGAAGAGGUGCUUAUGGCGCUAUUAUGGAGGAAGAAGAUGAAGGCUCUAAAUUCUGCGAAGAGGAUAUUGAUCAGAUUUUACUACGUCGUACAAAAACUAUUACAAUUGAAUCAGAAGGACGUGGGUCAACAUUUGCCAAGGCAAGUUUUGUGGCAUCUGGAAACCGGACAGAUAUUUCUUUAGAUGAUCCCAACUUCUGGCAAAAAUGGGCUAAAAAGGCAGAAAUAGAUAUAGAGGCCAUCAGUGGCAGAAACAGCUUGGUUAUUGACACUCCAAGAAUUAGGAAGCAAACAAGACCUUUUAGUGCCACAAAAGAUGAAUUGGCUGAAUUAUCUGAAGCUGAAAGUGAAGGAGAUGAAAAGCCCAAACUCCGGAGACCCUGUGACCGUUCCAAUGGCUAUGGAAGAACUGAAUGCUUUAGAGUUGAGAAAAACCUCCUAGUUUAUGGGUGGGGCCGAUGGAGAGAGAUUCUAUCUCAUGGCCGUUUCAAAAGGCAGCUAAAUGAACAUGAUGUAGAGAUAAUUUGCCGAGCUCUCUUAGCAUAUUGCCUUGUUCACUACCGAGGAGAUGAGAAGAUUAAAGGUUUCAUAUGGGAUCUCAUUACUCCAACUGAAGAUGGACAGACACGAGAGCUACAGAAUCAUCUAGGCCUAUCAGCUCCUGUACCCAGGGGUCGAAAAGGGAAGAAAGUAAAAACUCAAACAAGCUCAUUUGAUAUACAAAAAGCAGAAUGGCUUCGAAAAUAUAAUCCCGAGCAGCUACUUCAAGAUGAAGGCUACAAAAAACAUAUAAAACACCACUGUAAUAAGGUUUUGCUUCGUGUGAGAAUGCUGUAUUAUCUAAAGCAAGAAGUCAUUGGAAAUGAGUGUCAGAAAGUAUUUGAUGGAGUUGAUGCAAGUGACAUUGAUGUUUGGGUACCAGAACCAGACCACUCAGAAGUUCCUGCUGAGUGGUGGGAUUUUGAUGCCGAUAAGUCACUCCUUAUUGGAGUUUUUAAACAUGGAUAUGAAAAAUAUAACACUAUUCGAGCAGACCCAGCAUUAUGCUUCUUGGAAAGAGUGGGAAAACCUGAUGACAAAGCAGUUGCUGCCGAACAGAGAGCGAAUGAUUAUAUGGAUGGGGAUGUGGAAGAUCCAGAAUACAAACCUGCCCCAGCCAUCUUUAAAGAUGAUAUAGAGGAUGAUGUGUCCUCACCAGGAGAUCUUGUUAUAGCAGAUGGAGAUGGUCAACUGAUGGAGGGUGAUAAAGUAUAUUGGCCUACUCAGUCAGCUUUAACCACACGUUUAAGGCGUCUCAUCACUGCAUACCAGCGUACUAAUAAAAACAGACAAAUUCAACAGAUACAACCGACUUUCUCGGUGCCUACCAGUGUAAUGCAGCCUAUUUAUGAGGAAGCCAGUCUUAAUCCUAAAAUGGCAGCCAAGAUAGAAAGACAGCAAAGAUGGACAAGAAGAGAAGAAGCUGACUUUUAUAGAGUUGUAUCUACAUUUGGAGUCGUUUUUGACCCUGACAGAGGCCAAUUUGAUUGGACAAAAUUUAGAGCUAUGGCUAGGCUACAUAAGAAAACUGAUGAUAGUUUGGAAAAAUAUUUGUACGCAUUCAUGUCCAUGUGUCGGAGGGUUUGUCGUCUUCCUUCCAAAGAAGAAUUGGUGGAUCCAAAUAUUUUUAUCCAGCCCAUCACAGAAGAACGUGCUUCUAGGACUUUGUAUCGCAUUGAACUUCUAAGGAAAGUACGGGAACAGGCCCUUCGACAUCCACAGUUGUUUGAACGCUUGAAGCUUUGCCAUCCAAAUCCAGAUUUACCAGUCUGGUGGGAAUGUGGCCCUCAUGAUAGGGAUUUGCUUAUUGGUGCUGCCAAACACGGGGUGAGCCGAACAGACUAUCACAUUCUUCGUGAUCCUGAACUCUCAUUUAUGGCAGCUCAGAGGAACUACAGUCAAAGUAAGAUGGCUCAUUCAAGGACUUCUACCCCACUUUUACAGCAAUAUCAAGUAGCACUUUCUGCUUCUCCUCUUACCUCUCUACCUAGGCUCCUAGAUGCUAAAGGUAUUAUUCUAGAGGAGAUGAAAGUUAAAAGUGAAAACCUUAAAGAGGAGCCUCAGUCUUCUGAAGAAGAAUCUAUGUCUUCUGUGGAAACCAGGACACUAAUAAAAUCUGAGCCUGUAAGUCCAAAGAAUGGUGUUUUACCACAGGCUACUGGAGACCAGAAAUCUGGUGGAAAAAGUGAAACAGACAGACGCAUGGUUGCAGCCAGAACAGAACCCCUAACUCCAAACCCAGCUUCUAAGAAACCAAGAAUCCACAAAAGAGGAUCAGAAUCUAGUUCUGAUUCUGACUCAGAUUCUGAGAGAUCAUCCUGUUCUUCCAGAUCAUCUUCUUCCUCAUCAUCCUCCUCUUCUUGCUCCCACUCUCGAUCAGGCUCUAGUUCUUCUUCAUCUUCAUCUUGUUCUUCAGCAUCUUCUUCAUCCUCUUCCUCCACCUCUUCCUCCUCCUCCUCCUCUUCAUCUUCAUCAGAAGAAAGUGACAGUGAUGAAGAGGAAGCCCAAAAACGAGAAAGCACUACUCACAUGAAAGCCUAUGAUGAAGAAAGCGUCGCGUCACUGAGCACUACCCAGGAUGAGACUCAGGAUAGUUUUCAGAUGAACAAUGGCACACCAGAGCCUGCUUACAUCUUACAAGGUGGAUAUAUGCUGGCAGCCUCGUAUUGGCCAAAGGAUCGUGUGAUGAUCAAUAGGUUGGACAGUAUUUGUCAAACAGUUCUGAAAGGAAAGUGGCCUUCAGCUAGAAGAAGUUAUGAUGCUAACACAGUGGCUUCUUUCUAUACCACAAAACUGCUGGACAGCCCUGGAGCAGCUACGGAAUACAGCGAGCCCAGUGUACCCACUCCCCCAGGUGCUGGUGUUAAAGAAGAACAUGAUCAGUCAACACAGAUGUCAAAGGAAGGUGGUUUGAAGUUGACAUUUCAGAAGCAAGGGCUUGCUCAGAAAAGACCAUUUGAUGGUGAAGAUGGUGCUCUGGGGCAGCAGCAGUACCUCACUCGGCUUCGAGAGCUUCAAAGUGCAUCAGAGACCAGCCUCGUCAAUUUCCCAAAAUCCAUACCAGUAUCAGGUACUUCUAUUCAACCAACCCUUGGUGCCAAUGGUGUGAUAUUAGACAACCAGCCUAUAGUCAAAAAAAGGCGAGGAAGGAGGAAGAAUGUAGAAGGUGUUGACAUCUUCUUUUUUAACAGAAAUAAACCACCUAAUCAUGUUUCUUUAGGCUUAACCUCCUCUCAGAUUUCCACAGGGAUAAAUCCAGCACUAUCCUAUACUCAGCCUCAAGGAAUUCCUGAUACAGAAAGUCCAGUUCCAGUUAUUAAUCUGAAAGAUGGAACAAGACUUGCAGGAGAUGAUGCACCAAAGAGAAAGGAUUUGGAAAAAUGGCUUAAGGAGCACCCAGGUUAUGUGGAAGAUUUGGGAGCUUUUAUUCCUAGAAUGCAGCUUCAUGAGGGAAGACCCAAACAAAAAAGACACCGUUGCAGAAACCCCAAUAAACUAGAUGUGAAUAGUCUCACUGGAGAAGAACGUGUUCAACUGAUUAACAGAAGAAAUGCUAGAAAGGUUGGAGGUGCAUUUGCUCCCCCUUUGAAAGAUUUAUGUAGAUUCCUAAAAGAAAAUUCAGAAUAUGGAGUAGCUCCUGAAUGGGGAGAUGUUGUUAAGCAAUCUGGAUUUCUUCCAGAAAGCAUGUAUGAACGUAUUCUCACUGGUCCCAUUGUGAGAGAGGAAGUAAGCAGGCGGGGGAGACGGCCUAAAAGUGGAAUUGCAAAGGCCACAGCAGCAGCAGCUGCUGCAUCUGCCACCAGUGUUUCAGGCAAUCCUUUGUUAGCCAAUGGAUUACUUCCAGGUGUGGAUCUCACAACUCUUCAGGCCUUACAACAAAACCUACAAAACUUGCAGUCACUGCAAGUAACUGCAGGGUUGAUGGGAAUGCCUACUGGCCUUCCUUCUGGAGGAGAAGCUAAAAACAUGGCUGCUAUGUUCCCCAUGCUGCUGUCAGGAAUGGCUGGAUUACCAAAUCUGUUGGGCAUGGGAGGACUCCUGACAAAGCCUACGGAAUCUGGGACAGAAGACAAAAAGGGAAGUGACUCUAAGGAGUCAGAAGGAAAAAAAGAAAGGACAGAGAGCCAAAGUUCAGAGAAUGGUGGAGAAAACUCUUUGUCAAGUUCUCCUUCCACAUCCUCUACUGCUGCAUUAAAUACAGCUGCAGCUGCCAACCCAUUAGCUCUUAACCCACUAUUACUAUCUAAUAUACUUUAUCCAGGGAUGCUUCUCACUCCAGGCCUUAAUCUUCAUAUUCCAACUUUGUCCCAGUCCAGUACUUUUGAUGUACAAAACAAAAACAGUGACUUAGGCUCAUCUAAGUCUGUAGAAGUAAAGGAAGAAGAUUCCAGAAUUAAAGAUCAGGAAGACAAAGGAGGAACUGAACCAAGUCCUCUCAAUGAAAACAGCACAGAUGAGGGUUCAGAGAAAGCUGAUGCUUCAUCUGGAUCUGAUAGUACAUCGUCGUCAUCUGAGGAUUCAGAUUCUAGUAAUGAAGACUGAUUCCCAGACUCUGCACUUAAAAUAUGAACUGAUUUUGGAUUUUUUCUUUAAUAAUUAAUUGUAAAUACCCCAGUGUUGAGUGCGUCAAUAACUUACUGACCGAACAUUUCAGUUAUUUGUUUAGAAGUGCAAACUGCUUUCAGAGACUUUUUGCAUGUAAUAUUUCUUAAGAUUCAUAAGUUUCUGAACUCGUAUGUACUAUCAAAUACAUAAAGGUGUAAAAUUACAACAAAAGGCAUUAUAAUUUUGUUGGGGGUUAAUUUUAUGAAAAUUAUGCUCAAUAAGAGUUGUAUAUUUAAUAUAUUUGCAGUGAACACAGAAUACUUUAUGCAUAUUACUGAUUUAAUUUGAAUAUAGUUUUACAGCCUCCUUGACACCUAUAAUUUACAGAUCAAAACUCAGCAAUAAUUUGGGCAGCUAAUGAAUGUCAUGAAAGCUGUAGAAUCUACAUCACCAUCCAUUGCUUUAAUUACAUGAAAAUGCUCUAGUGUUGUGAUGCACUGCUGAUGUUUCCAAUUCAGGUACAAGUAUGUUUUAAAGAAGAAAUAAGUUUCCCAAUCAGCCAAUUUAACUGGCUACCUGUUACCUCAGCUGAGUUAGUUUAGGAAGUUUACAUUCGUUUCUAAUUCUAUACUUGUUUUCAGGGGUUUUUUAAACACAUCCUAUAUAUCAUGUUAAUCUGGCAAGAAAUAUGACUUGCUUUUUGCUGAGCUUAAUUCAGAUAUCAGUAAAAUUAAGUCAUAAAAUAAUCAUGUGUCAUGUGACUUUGGCACCCUAUAGACAUACUUAGUUUUAACUUUUCAAAGUUUGGCCUCCUAUUAGAAAUAAUCAUGUCUCAGAUGAGUAAUGUCUGUUUCCAGGGUUCAGAAAAGGCAAACUCAUGAAAUGCCACUGAAAAGAACUUUCAACACAGCAUACUUCAUGUAAAAGAAAUUGUUUGUUUGCUUUCUUUGUGUAGAUUUCUAUUUGUGUUUUAUGUCAUGGAAAUAUUCCAGAAUUAACAGAUAAUAGUGGUAAAGUAAUAUGCAGAUAGUCUAAAUUCAUUUUGAGUUUCUAGGUGUAAGCAGACUAAAUGUUGCCCAGAAUCAGUGUUGGGUUAUCAGUUUAUAUUAAAUAUACUGAGUUGCCCGUUUUGAAAAUGCACUUUGAAUAAUCUCAAAAAGAUGUGCAAGUUAUACCUGUAAACCACAAAAGUGAAGCCUAAGGCUUCUGUUCAAUUUCAUAGAAUCCUUUACCAUGUAAAAUUUGUCUGAUAUUUGAUUUGUGAUACAAUUUCUCCUGCUAAAGCUGCUAUUAUUCUGACAAGGUAGAGGUCCAGGUUCACCUUCAUAUAUAUUUAAAACAAUUAGUACUGAAUUGGACAUAAAAAUAUUGACAUUCGAAGGAGAGAUAUAUGUUAGCAUUUUUCUGGUACUCAAAUAAGUUAGUGGUAAAGUCUGCAAGGGCAUAAAUUUAGGGGGAAAAAGUGUCCCAGUUCUCUCCUACAGAAAAAAUACUUUCAGUGUGUUUUGAUAAAACUGUUGCUUUGUCAUGAGUUAGUUAAUUGUAUCAGGUUUUCCAAGACCUUUACCAGUAAAUUAUGUUUCUGUAUGUAAAAUAACCCCUUAUUAGAGAGACAGUGUUAUAUGUAUUUACAAAAUUAUAUAAGUUCCAUUGGGAUUGUAUUGAUUUUGUAUUUUCCCAAAAUAGUACUUUGAAUUGAUAGUCCUUUAUGCAAUGUCUUAGCAAUAGUCUCUAUAAUGCCCAUCCAGGAGAAGUGGGUAGUAAUUCUUCAUCAUGAAAAUGAUAUAUUACAUAUUUAGUAUCUUCCCUUUGCAGUAUUGCACUUUUGUUUAACUAGAAUACACCUAUGAGAUAGCCAAAGUUUUUCAAACACAGUUAACUUAGUUUACCGGUGGAGUAUUUCAACACCAACCACAUUUCCCUUCCUCCCUCUAAUUCUACCCACAUGAUCUUUAUUCCUUCCUUUCGCCAAUUAAAAAAAAAAAAAAAAAAAAAAAAAAAAAAAAGGAAAAAAAAUCUGUAGAUCUUGUCACUAAAAUCUAAUUUAUAUCAAAUUUAUGAGAGAAAGUAUUUUCCUAAUUAUGGUCAAAUAAAUUUGGUUAACAUCCUAGUGAUUCUCUUUCUAUGUAAUAAGGCAAUUACAGUUUUCAAAGCAUUAAGUCUAACAUAACUUUAAACAUUCUCUUAGGUUUCAAGACACUUCUAUUUAAUAUUCAUUGGGGAAAAGUUGUCCAGCUAUCAGCUAAGAAAACACAUGCAAAUAUGGUUGUGUAAAGUUAAGGGUUAUAAGGAAAAAAAAAAAAAUCAGUAGAAUUACAUAAUACUAAAGUUGCAGUUGAAAGGAUAUCCAAGUAUGUGUUGGUAGUUACUAAAAGAAUUAUAGCUGUUAUUGCCUUGUAUUUAUAGCCCUUGUUUCAGGUUUUAUGAUUCAAAUCUUAGUCCAAUCUUUCUUUUGGACAUUUGCAAUAUUUACCAGUUGUGUUUUGUGUAGUCUGAAUUUGCUUUCUGUAGUUGAGCAAACGUCUUAAAAAGUCAUUUGUAAUUUAUUACUUUCUAUGAUGUUCUAUAGAGC
rnacentral:sRNA from 1 species